rnacentral:sRNA from 1 species
CUUUUUGUCAAUUACAAGUUGAUAGUACCUUAAGUCACUUGAGCCCUAAAUAUUAAAAUAGCAACAAUAUUAAAAUCUCAGAAAUCUUUUUAUUAUUCAUAAAUGUUUCAUGUUUAACAUUUUAAAAAUUACAUGUUUUUAUUGACUUUUCCUAGAAAGAAUUUGAAAAGAUAAAUUUAUUUUCUUUUCUCAUAGUAUAUGAUGAAUAGAUAAUUGAAAAGAGAUCUUCCAGAAAGAGCAGAAGGAAGUUUCUUCAAUGGCUUCCUUCAGGAUUUUAAUCAUCCUUACAGCCUCUUUGAGAAUGAUUGAACUUCCAAAUUCCCUAAAGUUAAAAUUUUAAAUUCUAUUAAACAUUUUUUCGAGUAUUUCA